CGCGUGAGAAUCUAGCUUCAGGUCGGGGACAACCACUGGAAACGGUGGCUAAUACCGGAUGUGCCGAAAGGUGAAAGAUUUAUUGCCUGAAGAUGAGCUCGCGUCUGAUUAGCUAGUUGGUGUGGUAAGAGCGCACCAAGGCGACGAUCAGUAGCUGGUCUGAGAGGAUGAUCAGCCACACUGGGACUGAGACACGGCCCAGACUCCUACGGGAGGCAGCAGUGGGGAAUUUUCCGCAAUGGGCGAAAGCCUGACGGAGCAAUACCGCGUGAGGGAGGAAGGCUCUUGGGUUGUAAACCUCUUUUCUCAGGGAAUAAAAAAAUGAAGGUACCUGAGGAAUAAGCAUCGGCUAACUCCGUGCCAGCAGCCGCGGUAAUACGGAGGAUGCAAGCGUUAUCCGGAAUGAUUGGGCGUAAAGCGUCCGCAGGUGGCACUGUAAGUCUGCUGUUAAAGACAAGGCUCAACCUUGUAAAGGCAGUGGAAACUACAGAGCUAGAGUACGUUCGGGGCAGAGGGAAUUCCUGGUGUAGCGGUGAAAUGCGUAGAGAUCAGGAAGAACACCGGUGGCGAA
rnacentral:rRNA from 1 species